UACCUUUUGCACUGUCACUACAAUGUAUGAUAUAAAAAGAAUAAUUUCUUCCUUAGACUUGGAGACUUGUUUCUAACAUCACCAGAUGUGUAUGUCCCAGAGAUAAAGAACUGUCCAGUGAGCUCCAGAGCGCGGUACUUACCUCCCAUGCCUCUUCUGCAUCCAGGGAUGUUAUCCAUGGUAAAAAUAACAUUCCUUACAGAGGCCUUCUCUCCAAGCAUUGUCAGCAGAUAUAAUUAAUGACGGACUGAAAAUCAGCAUCCAUUUAUCAAGACCCAGGAGCAAUACAUUAUGCAUCCAGUUUGUACCAAGUGAUGUUGAAAUAAUGCCUAAGGUAGCAUACAGUACUCUGAAGAAGAAAUACAGAAACCCUGAAAUCAAACAUGUAAGUAGACAUUAUUUUCAUUGGUAUUGUUUUUAAGCUGAAGGAGAUAGAACCUAACCCUGCUUAGAGACCUAAUGUUAAAAUGACCGAAGAAAACUUUAUGCAGUAUCUCGU
rnacentral:lncRNA from 1 species